CCUACGGGUGGCUGCAGUGGGGAAUAUUGCACAAUGGGGGAAACCCUGAUGCAGCGACGCCGCGUGAAGGAAGAAGUAUUUCGGUAUGUAAACUUCUAUCAGCAGGGAAGAACAUGACGGUAUCUGACUAAGAAGCGCCGGCUAACUACGUGUCAGCAGCCGCGGUAAUACGUAGGGGGCAAGCGUUGUCCGGAUUUACUGGGUGUAAAGGGAGCGUAGGCGGUGAAGCAAGUCAGAUGUGAAAGCCCGGGGCUCAACUCCGGGACUGCUUUUGAAACUGUUUAUCUUGAUUGCAGGAGAGGUAAGUGGAAUUCCUAGUGUAGCGGUGAAAUGCGUAGAUAUUAGGAAGAACACCAGUGGCGAAGGCGGAUUACUGGACUGUAAAUGACGGUGAGGCUCGAAAGCGUGGGGAGCAAACAGGAUUAGAUACCCGGGUAGUC
rnacentral:rRNA from 1 species